rnacentral:lncRNA from 1 species
CCCAUUGUGGUUUUGAUUUGCAUUUUCCUAAUGACUAACGAUGUUAAGCAUCUUUUCAUGGUUUUUGGCUAUUUAUAUAUCUUCACUGGAUAAAUUACUACUCAGAUUCUUUGCCCAUUUUUAAAUUGGGUUAUUUAUCUUUUUAUUAUUGAAUUAUGUUCUUUAUAUAUUCUGGAUACAAAUCUCGUAUCAGAUAUAUGGUUCGAAAAUAUUUUCUUCCAUCCUGUGGGUUGUCUUUCGUUUUUUUGUCCAUCACAGCAGUUGCACACAGAUCAUGAUGCCCAAAGCUGCUCAUUCCUAGGAGAUGUGGAACUUCUCUCACAGCCGACUUUGGCUCAAGGACUCCUCAAAGGCUUUACCAAGCCUUCCUUAGACCGUUCCAUCUGGGAUGCCUCCAUCCAAUCUUCCCUCCUUUUUUCCUCACUGGGAUCAGACUUACGUGGAAGUCUGACUGCUCUGGGCCUUCUCCCACUCCUGCCCCAUAUUCUCUCACAUCAGCAUUUCUCUUCAUAAAAUCUUUGCACACCUAAUCCCAUCUUGAGGUCUGCUCCUUGGAAGACCUGGACUAACACACCCUACGACAGCAAUACCGAUACUAAACGAUGAGCUUAAAAGUUCGAGGCCAAAGUCCUCAUGUAAUUGAUGGCAGCAGCGACCAGAAGCAAAAACAAAGGGAGAGAUUUGAACUCUCUGCUAUGCCAGGGUGUUUCUACUCAGCGAAAACAGCAAUGAUUUUCAACCUAGAUAGAUCAUACCUAGGUUUAAAGAUCAGCCCUGCCACUUACUAAUUUUAUGAUUUUGACAAGUUAUUUAAUCUCCAUGUGCCUUCGUUUCCUCAUCUGCAAAAUGCGAUCAACAGUGCCAUCUCCCUGUAUUGUUUUGAGGAUUAAAUAAAAUAAUGUAAAAAGCUUCUGGCAAAGUGCCUGGCACCUAGUGGGAGCUUGUCAAAUGUUGGUUUCCUUCCCAUCUCCCCUCAGCUGGGACAUCACAGUAGCAUCACGCUCAGCUCACUGUUCGAGAGCAAGCAAUGACUCUGCUCUAGGAUGAGGCGCACAUACUUUAUAGGAGUAAGCAGAGCGGUGAGUGUUGAUUUUUCUCCUGUCGAUUCCUCAGCCUCCCUUUCCCUGUUCCGUUCUGGCCCAACCAUUGCCUUCAGCUCCCUGGACACUGGAGGGAUGAGCCUUUCUGACCAGGAUUCCAAAGGAGCUGUACGUGGUCCGUCACUAGAGCAUCUCCAGCCAGUCCAGUCAUCUCCCAGCAUUAUUCUGUCCAAUCAGCUGGAAGAGGAUCUCAAUCUAAUGCUGUAUGGUCCAGCUGACUAUCAGAGCAUCCAGCAUUGCAUCAGCAACAAGGGUUAGGUGGGGUGGAUAAGGGAGGGGAUGGGAGCUGAGGGGGCAAUGUAGCUGACUGCCUUGAACAAGUCUCUCUUUCUGUAGACCUGCUUUUACUCUUUCUCCAGGAUGCAGUAAAAAAUAGCUAAUUAAAUUAUUUUUCUUGGGGACAAGGAUUGUGUCUUCAUUGAUAUCAUUCAUUGCCUGAACGUGUUAAAAAUUGUUACUUUCU